AUACGGAGGGUGCGAGCGUUAAUCGGAAUUACUGGGCGUAAAGCGUGCGUAGGCGGUUUGCUAAGUCAGAUGUGAAAGCCCCGGGCUUAACCUGGGAACUGCAUUUGAUACUGGCAGACUCGAGUAUGAUAGAGGGGGGUAGAAUUCCUGGUGUAGCGGUGAAAUGCGUAGAUAUCAGGAGGAAUACCAGUGGCGAAGGCGGCCCCCUGGAUCAAUACUGACGCUGAGGUACGAAAGCGUGGGGAGCGAACAGGAUUAGAAACCCUAGUAGUCC
rnacentral:rRNA from 1 species